ensembl:lncRNA
CACCUGCCACAAUAGAUAUUCAAACACUGUCACGUCUUCGGGGCGGAACAAGGAGGAGCAGGAGAACGGCGUAAUACUUUUGUAGAAUCUUUUAAUAAUCGAGUGAUAUAUGCGAAGCGCAACACUGCUCUUUGUAACACAGAGACAAUUACACACAUAGACAGGGGGAGCAGAGGGAACACAUAUACUGGGGGGAAUGAUGAGGAUGAGAACCAGGUGCGCUAAACAAGACACAGGUGAAAUGCAUGAUGAGAUGGACGGUGGUGUCAGAAGGCCGGUGACGUCGAACGCUGGAGUCUGUCUGCUGCAGGGGGAGCAGAGGGAACAUAUAUACUGGGGGGAAUGAUGAGGAUGAGAACCAGGUGCGCUAAACAAGACACAGGUGAAAUGCAUGAUGAGAUGGACGGUGGUGUCAGAAGGCCGGUGACGUCGAACGCUGGAGUCUGUCUGCUGCAGGGGGAGGUGAAGCAGCAGAGGGCACAGUUGUCACAAAUACAGUGGAUGUACUGGUGUAGCGUGGUGCUGCCGGGCCGGGGUGCAAGCUGUCCUUACAGGCCCCCCUCAGAUUACGAUGUGGUAUAUAUGCAUGUAAAGACGAUCCUGGUGAUGAGUUGGAGGAAACGGCCAAGGAAGAUGAAAAGAAAGAGAAGGACGGUAGCUCAACAUAUUGUUGUGACAAAGAAAAGAACAGUUAUCAUUUAAUGACCCUUUAAUCCGUGAUGUCACCAAGACGUCUCAAUAAGCACCUUUCCUCAAGCUUUGUUUUCUAUACAAACUCUUUGGAUGUUUCUGUUUGUGAUUGGUUGCCUCUUCCCACAGGACUCCCCACUCCUGGGUAGUUGUUAGGCUUCUUCUGGCGUUCACUCUGGUCCCUCCCCUCUCUUUUAAUCCUUGAAUCCUGAGGCCAGAUGACAGACACCUCAGAACCACAUGACCAAUUCAGAUUUUAUUGGCAAUUGUUGACUUCUCCAUCUUCUGCUGCACAUUACUGGAGUAGAGAACCAUUAGAUAGGCAUUCAAACACAGUGGAUGUUAUCAGAUGUGAUACCAGGUUGGUUCCUCACCAGAGUUGAAGGAAAUGGACGAGGUUGAUGAGGAGGAAGUACUGGAGAAUCUCCUUGGUCUGACUGUUGAGAUUAACUGAAUAUUAUAAUAACAUAAAGAAAUGUGCAUUUUCAUUCGUCGUCAUUUGAAUCUGUGAGGAUGCCAAGAUUCUCUAAAUACAUCUUUCUCAGUCUUUGUUUUCUAUACAACUUCUUUAAUAGGCACCAGUUAGCUUAAAUAGGCACCAGUUAGCUUAAUGGUUGUCACAUCUGACCAGUAACAAAAUGGUUGUUACAUCAAUGGAGUGGGCAAGGUAAAAAACAUCAGUUGUAAUCUUCCUGAGUAAGACUGUCAAGCCUGAAUGCUUAUGUAAUAUUGUUCUGGUGGGCUUAGUGAUGAGACUUCCUGAUUCGAGGGACUAUGUUGUUAAACUUCACUGGGUAAAGUUAUUAUGCUAUUUAAUGUGUAUUUUCCCUAAAGUGUAUUGACAGCCUCAGAAAGCACCUACAUUGAUUAAUCAUGUAAAUGGGUUUAGGUAGGGGACAACACCAUCAUGUUACCAUGGCAAUUGCUUCAUCAACACCAU